CACACAGCCCAUCCCAUCCGUUUACGCAAGCCCCCCCCCAGUGAUUACCAUCACUUCUGCCAUAGGCCAGCAGCCAUCACCAUCACCACCACCACCGCAAGAGCGAGGAUAUAGGGUGUAUACCGUGAACUCCGCUAUCGGCGUGCUUCUUCGACCUCUCGCGUUCGUCCAAAGAAAGCGAUCGAAGCGGAAAAAAAAACGAAAGGAAGCCGCGUAGACGGCACUCCUGUCGUUCUCUCACGCACGCACGCACACACACUUCGCGUUUCUCUCUCCGUGCCACUACCUCACCGCGCGCGCGCAACAUGAGCAGGGCUCACAACGGAGAGUUACGGGCGCCGUCACGGCAGUCGUGCUGCCAUCGCAGCUGGCCGGUCGUUUUUCUAAUCAUGUCGCUCAUCGUCGUCGUGCUCGCCUUCGUUUGCGUCAUCCUGGCCUUUCUGCACUCCAUCAUCACCCCAAGCAUCGGGUUCCUGGGUGUGUACUGCCUCAUCUUCAGCCUGCUCGGCCUCUCGGCGGAGGUGCUGCAGUUUUCAUCGCUCAACGGACUCCUGUUUAUUUGGAUGAAGUACUUCCACGUUCUUCUCUACUACCGCCCGCGUGGCGUCUUCUACAUCCUGUUCGGCGCCCUGCUGCUCGGCACCAGCGUUAUCGAGAUCGUCGCCGGCACCGUGGCCAUUGCGCUUGGUGCGUUGAUGCUGCUGGUCAGCAUGGUGGCAGGUAUGCCUGAGUUCGAGGAGGCACCGGAGGAGGAGCACCAUCGGCGUCACGGCGGCCGCACAUCGAGCGCGGCGGCGCGAGAGACUUCCCCGGGCACCAGGAGCAGCGCGAGGACCAAGACCUCCGCCGCGCCGACGGGCUCCAAGUCACACCGUGAGCCCAACGUCUGAAGCUCGUGAGUGAGCGAGGCUUCGAGGGCAUAGAGCGGCCCCCGGCCACGCGUGAAUGCGUAUGUGGAUGAAAGUAGCUUCCAGGGAGGUGUGGCCAAUCUCUUCGCCUCCGUCAGCACCUGCGCCACGAAACCGCCGCUGCAGGAGACUCAUCUCAUGCACGGCGAGGGCGAAAGGACACUGAAGCGACAGUCUGCACAGGCCGUCGCCACAAAACACUCGAGACGGCCUUCGGUAGAGAGCAGGUCUGUUAUGGAGAGAGCGAGGGGGCAGAGAGUCCCAUCCCCUCGUGCCUCUCCUCCGUCUGGAAAUGUAGGCUGCCACCGCUCCCCGCACCAUCCUCUCUAGCCACGCUUCUCAUGCUCUCGCUUGUGCAGAGGCUCGGUGUGCGGUGUGUGUGUGUGCCGUUGAUGUCUUACGUGCUGCUUCCACCGCAGCCCCCCCCCCCCUCCCUCCCUUCCCCUUCCUUUGUUCUUUUCUGUUUAGCUAUAUCUGUUCUUCUCUUACACGCCCACGCACACACACACCCACUCUCCCCUCCUCAGGAGGGGGGAAGGCCCGGUGCCAUCUCUGUGAUGGCGUGACCGCGGUGGGCGUGUGUCUCGUUCUGUCUGCCUUUCUGUAUGUGUGCGUCCAUGCAGGGGUUUGGGCGUGUGCGUGUAUUGUUUCGUGCGUGCGUGUGCAGCGGGGGUGUCUCCCGCGCCCCCUUCCUGUUCUUCUCCUAGGAGUGUGUUGUCCGUGUCUCCCGCCCUCUCUCACCGUGACGCCGCUUCUGCAUGUAUAUGGUGAAUGUGCCUAUAUAUAUAUAUAUAUAUAUAUGUUUGCAUGACGUGACGCCGCUGCCGCUCUCAUGACGAUGUUGUCGACUCGACGGCCGGAGGGCACUCCGUGACGUGCGCGACGGCGCGCCUAUGCGCAUGCGAUAUUCCUUCUUCUUUACUUGGAUACCUAUUGGAUGUGCCGAGGCAAACACAACG
rnacentral:misc_RNA from 1 species